rnacentral:rRNA from 1 species
AUUGAACGCUGGCGGCAUGCCUUACACAUGCAAGUCGAACGGCAGCACGGAGCUUGCUCUGGUGGCGAGUGGCGAACGGGUGAGUAAUAUAUCGGAACGUACCCUAGAGUGGGGGAUAACGUAGCGAAAGUUACGCUAAUACCGCAUACGAUCUAAGGAUGAAAGUGGGGGAUCGCAAGACCUCAUGCUCGUGGAGCGGCCGAUAUCUGAUUAGCUAGUUGGUAGGGUAAAAGCCUACCAAGGCAUCGAUCAGUAGCUGGUCUGAGAGGACGACCAGCCACACUGGAACUGAGACACGGUCCAGACUCCUACGGGAGGCAGCAGUGGGGAAUUUUGGACAAUGGGCGAAAGCCUGAUCCAGCAAUGCCGCGUGAGUGAAGAAGGCCUUCGGGUUGUAAAGCUCUUUUGUCAGGGAAGAAACGGUGAGAGCUAAUAUCUCUUGCUAAUGACGGUACCUGAAGAAUAAGCACCGGCUAACUACGUGCCAGCAGCCGCGGUAAUACGUAGGGUGCAAGCGUUAAUCGGAAUUACUGGGCGUAAAGCGUGCGCAGGCGGUUUUGUAAGUCUGAUGUGAAAUCCCCGGGCUCAACCUGGGAAUUGCAUUGGAGACUGCAAGGCUAGAAUCUGGCAGAGGGGGGUAGAAUUCCACGUGUAGCAGUGAAAUGCGUAGAUAUGUGGAGGAACACCGAUGGCGAAGGCAGCCCCCUGGGUCAAGAUUGACGCUCAUGCACGAAAGCGUGGGGAGCAAACAGGAUUAGAUACCCUGGUAGUCCACGCCCUAAACGAUGUCUACUAGUUGUCGGGUCUUAAUUGACUUGGUAACGCAGCUAACGCGUGAAGUAGACCGCCUGGGGAGUACGGUCGCAAGAUUAAAACUCAAAGGAAUUGACGGGGACCCGCACAAGCGGUGGAUGAUGUGGAUUAAUUCGAUGCAACGCGAAAAACCUUACCUACCCUUGACAUGGCUGGAAUCCUUGAGAGAUCAGGGAGUGCUCGAAAGAGAACCAGUACACAGGUGCUGCAUGGCUGUCGUCAGCUCGUGUCGUGAGAUGUUGGGUUAAGUCCCGCAACGAGCGCAACCCUUGUCAUUAGUUGCUACGAAAGGGCACUCUAAUGAGACUGCCGGUGACAAACCGGAGGAAGGUGGGGAUGACGUCAAGUCCUCAUGGCCCUUAUGGGUAGGGCCUCACACGUCAUACAAUGGUACAUACAGAGCGCCGCCAACCCGCGAGGGGGAGCUAAUCGCAGAAAGUGUAUCGUAGUCCGGAUUGUAGUCUGCAACUCGACUGCAUGAAGUUGGAAUCGCCGGUAAUCGCGGAUCAGCAUGUCGCGGUGAAUACGUUCCCGGGUCU